rnacentral:rRNA from 1 species
UACGGGGGGGGCAAGCGUUGUUCGGAAUUACUGGGCGUAAAGGGCUCGUAGGCGGCCAACUAAGUCGGAUGUGAAAUCCCCAAGCUUAACUUGGGAACUGCAUCCGAUACUGGAUGGCUUGAAUCCGGGAGAGGGAUGCAGAAUUCCAGGUGUAGCGGUGAAAUGCGUAGAUAUCUGGAGGAACACCGGUGGCGAAGGCGGCAUCCUGGACCGGUAUUGACGCUGAGGCGCGAAAGCCAGGGGGGAGCAAACGGG